CUACGGAGGGUGCAAGCGUUACUCGGAAUCACUGGGCGUAAAGCGCGCGCAGGCGGUCUUUUAAGUUGGAUGUGAAAGCCUACAGCUCAACUGUAGAACUGCAUCCAAAACUAUUAGACUAGAGUCUGGGAGGGGAAGAUGGAAUUAGUUGUGUAGGGGUAAAAUCCGUAGAGAUAACUAGGAAUACCAAAAGCGAAGGCGAUCUUCUGGAACAGUACUGACGCUGAGGCGCGAAAGCGUGGGGAGCAAACAGGAUUAGAAACCCCGGUAGUCC
rnacentral:rRNA from 1 species